rnacentral:lncRNA from 1 species
AAACAACUUCAAGGGCCUUUCCAUGCCCAAAGAUACUGCAGCAGAGCCAUCUAUGAACGACAGAUGAAUUAGCUUAGAGUCUUAGUUCUAAACCACCUCCCCGGAUAGUCGGAAAUCCCACUGGCUGGAGGAAUAAAUAAAUUCCUUAUCCUGUCAAGGAAGCUCCUCCCAAGCUACAAAAGUUUCAGAGAGCAAAGGGACCAAGUGACCCCAGAGAUGAAAUCUGUGACUCUCUGGUGGAGCAACAUGAUAGUAAUAAAUGAAGGUUGAGUGCCUGCUGUAUAAAGCAACCUCUGGAGUGCCUGAUAUCUACUAACUCUUUUAGCAUCCACUCGACCCUGUGAGAUGCGUAUCACUUUAUUGUAUCUACCACUGUAAAAAAGAAUGAACCAAGCUACAGCAAUAUUAUGUUGCUUGCCCUGAGUCACACAGCUGAGUAAGUCACAGGAGUUUGUGCUCAUAAUGACUUUGCUAUGCUGAUGUUUGAACCUGGUACCAUUCAGCGACCCUGCAGCUAAUAUGGCUCCAUGCUCUACUUCUGGAAAAGCCGAGUUCCUGCAGCCUUGUCCUACAUCACCCAAAAGAGCUGGAAAAGAAUGCAGUGAGUUCCAUUCUAUUUGUUCCGAGAAUAGGAAAGCCACAUUGAAGCAGCGUCUUAAAGAGAAAUCUAUAGUUAGGAGUGAUGAAGAUUUGAAACAGAUGUCAGCAGAAAGAAAAAGAGAGAGGCACCAUGAUAAUUAUACUCAGUGAUGCUUUUUAAAUGGCAUAUAUUCAGUUAAAUAUAGGGAGGUUUGCUGCUAGCCAUAUGAACAAAGCACAAGAGAAUUCCUGGAUCGAGGCAGACUUAAAGAGACAUUGAAAAAAAAAAACAAAAUUCAAAAUUUUGACCUAGUGCAGGAAGAAGUGCAAGUACAGGGGAAGUGGAGGGAAGGAGUGGGGAGGCUGGCACAGAGAUGGCACGGGCAGACACGAGCAGAUUGACUCACCAGGACUGUCAUUGGGCCACCACUCUUAGCAGGAAUUUCACCAUUGAAUGACCUAAUUAUUGCCUUAGGAAAAACACAAGAGCUCCUGUCCAUAACAGGAUAACAGAUGUAUUUCAGUGGAGCACAGAAUAGGCCGGAUGGUGACUAGCAAGAAUAAAAGCCCAAGUGGACUGAAGAAUCCAUCCAAGAUAUGGUCAGGACGGGCUUGUGGAAAACUCAUGCAAUAAUGAGAAGAAAUAUUAUUUGUCACUACCUUUUUUGAGCAGACGUGUGGAUAAACCUACUUUGGGGUAGGAGCUGAGCCUCAGGCCUGUGACCGCUAGAAGCUGGACUUGAAGCCAGGAAAGAGGCCGCUCUUCCCAGGAGUUGGGAGAAUUUGACUUUGGUGUAGAAUCCAGAAGGCAGGAGAGAGGGUACCAGGGAAGAGCUGGGGGUGGAGGCUAAAAAAGAAGCCCUGGUUGCCAAAGCCAGGAGGUGACUUUAUGGGAGAGCAGCAGUGACUAAGCCAGGAAUUGACUUCGCAGGAGAGCAGCAGUGACUAAUUCAGGAGGUGACUUUGCGGAAGAGCAGAAGUAACUAAGCCAGGAGGUGACUUUGCAGGAGAGCUGCAGUGAUUGUGAAGUUGUUCACAUACAGGGAGUCAUGGGAUACACUCUACCAUCUCCCGUGGAAAAUCCUCGAUAAGCACUCUCACUCUAGCAAGCCCUUUUGGUGCUCCCAGUCACAUCGCCUGGCCCACGCUGGGUGAGAGCUCACAUGCGCUUCUGGUCCUGGCCUUCUCAGACACCACAGUAGCUGCCCACCCUACAAAAGACCUGGAAGGGGAGGGGAGCCUGUGCCACUGCAGCCAGAGGAUGAAUGUCCUGUCAUGAACAAUUCCUGGGGGCACUCUGUACAUUUUGCAAAAGUCCUGCCAGAAUGGAAACUUGCUGUCUACAGCAGCGACCUUGAUAACACAUCAUUUGAUUUUUCCUCCUUUUGUGACUCAUGCUCCUGUUCCCUCACCCUGGCUUCCUGAGAUCACCUCCCAGAUGAACUCCCUGCACUGAAUUCUGGUCUCAGUUUGCUUUGGGGAGAACUCAAAACUAAGACAUUCACCACUGUGUUUGUGUGAGCCAAAUCUUCACAUCACGAGCAGGCGCUAUGUCUGCGUUCAGCCAGACAAAGAGCAAACCAGCAACUGCCCACACGAAUGCAGUCCAUGGACAAGAGGAGAGUGAUAGCCGAGCGACUUUGGGACUUGCUGUCAAAGAUACCUGUCUCCCUCUCUUUCAUUCUCUUUACCUUUCCAUCAGACUAUGUGGCUGCCUCAUCCCCCCGUGUCCUGCAAGCAAGGAUAUUAACUAUACAAACAGUCCAGCUUAAAACAAAAUGGGCAGAAUAUUUGAAUAGACACUUCACAAAGGAAGACAAACAAAUUACCAAUAAGUGUGUUAACAAUUGUUAACAUCGUUAAUCAUCAGGGAAGUGGAAAUUAAUACCACAAGGAGAAAUCACUACACACUAAAGUGGCUAAAAUGAAAAAGAGUAAUGACAUCAAAUCCUAAUCUGAGUAUAGAGCAACUGUUGAUGGAAAUAUAAGAUGGUACAGCCACUUUGGAUAAAAUAAAAUGAUGCAACCACUUUGGAAAAGUUUGGCAGCUUUAUGUAAAACUAAGCAAAUACCUUUGGCCCAGCAAUUCCACUCAAGCAAUCCUUCCCUAAAGAAAUAAAAAUAUAUAUCCACCAAAAGAUUUGUGCAAGAA